AGAAAAAGAAAAGAGAGAUGUGGAUGAAAAACUUCAGUUUAGAGAGUCAGCAGUCAUCAGUGAGAAGAGAAGUUUUGAAGAACAAAGCAAAACAGUUAUCCUGUGGAGGGAGAGACUGAACGUCUCGAGCAUCGAACAUGUUUGUUCUCAUCUGGUCGGCUCUGUUUGUCUCUGUAAAAGGCAGCAUUGCUGACACAGGUGUCUCAGCCUGGGGACAACAACACUGUGAUAGAGGAUACUGUGUUACUCUGAGUGAGCGAGAACUAACAGCAGAAGCUGGACUCUGUGUUGUGAUCCCGUGUUCUUUCACUACUGCUGAUGAGUUUACACCCAAACAGACAAUUUGGUACAAAUGUGAAGCAUCUCAAAAAUUUUGCAGUGAUGCUGACAUAAUAUUUCACAGCAACAAAAACACAGACAAAAAAGCUCAGUCUGGGUUUGAAGGACGAG